rnacentral:rRNA from 2 species
UGCAGUCGAGCGGACAGAUGGGAGCUUGCUCCCUGAUGUUAGCGGCGGACGGGUGAGUAACACGUGGGUAACCUGCCUGUAAGACUGGGAUAACUCCGGGAAACCGGGGCUAAUACCGGAUGGUUGUUUGAACCGCAUGGUUCAGACAUAAAAGGUGGCUUCGGCUACCACUUACAGAUGGACCCGCGGCGCAUUAGCUAGUUGGUGAGGUAACGGCUCACCAAGGCGACGAUGCGUAGCCGACCUGAGAGGGUGAUCGGCCACACUGGGACUGAGACACGGCCCAGACUCCUACGGGAGGCAGCAGUAGGGAAUCUUCCGCAAUGGACGAAAGUCUGACGGAGCAACGCCGCGUGAGUGAUGAAGGUUUUCGGAUCGUAAAGCUCUGUUGUUAGGGAAGAACAAGUGCCGUUCAAAUAGGGCGGCACCUUGACGGUACCUAACCAGAAAGCCACGGCUAACUACGUGCCAGCAGCCGCGGUAAUACGUAGGUGGCAAGCGUUGUCCGGAAUUAUUGGGCGUAAAGGGCUCGCAGGCGGUUUCUUAAGUCUGAUGUGAAAGCCCCCGGCUCAACCGGGGAGGGUCAUUGGAAACUGGGGAACUUGAGUGCAGAAGAGGAGAGUGGAAUUCCACGUGUAGCGGUGAAAUGCGUAGAGAUGUGGAGGAACACCAGUGGCGAAGGC